rnacentral:rRNA from 1 species
UUCAUGAAGCCGGAAUUGCUAGUAAUGGCAGGUCAGCAUACUGCCGUGAAUACGUUCCCGGGCCCUUGUACACACCGCCCGUCACACCAUGAGAGUUGGGGAUACCCGAAGCCUGUGAGCUAACUAUUUAUAGGAGCAGCAGUCGAAGGUAGAAUCAAUGAUUGGGUGAAGUCGUAACAAGGUAUC